rnacentral:ncRNA from 2 species
CUUUACGACUAGGGGUGCUGCCGGUGGCGGCUGAGAGAGUCCCUUGGAACCUGAUCCGGCUCGCACCGGCGGAGGGAAGUCGGUCGUCGGCGUU